UACCUGUGCUUCUGUACUGUUUCGACAUGUGGCAUAAUGCAAUAAAUUAUAUGCUAAUUAGAAAAUUGUAUCAUUGCACUAACCUGCCAAUUCAAAUGUAAUGUGUCAUAUUGCAAUAGUAGUCUCUAAGAUGUAACACAGCUAUAUUCCUCUUCUAUUUGUCACAGGUGAUUUUAAAAGUCUGGUGCCAUUAAUAAACACUCAGUAGUAGCGAGGGGACUACAGCUGAUUGUUGUAGCCUAUUUGCAUAAAGGGUGUUUAGUAUUCCUAAUUUAAUUUAUGGCUACAUAAAGUCAUUAUUGAUUAGUACUAACGGUGGUCUUCCAUGUUACAGUGACGCAUUUUCACAGCGCAACGAUCCGCUGCACGGAGAACCUCAUCGAGAGGUCCGCAGUGCAGCUGCAUCUCGCGAUCCACAAGCAGAGAAUUCACAGGAAGCUCAGCAGGGCAUUGGGGCCAGUGAAUUGCAUCCAACCGGAGUUAGUCUGCAAGUGUCCUGUCAGAUGCAGCUCCCCACCUGUGCUACGCACUGUAGCAACUCAGUGUGCUGUUGCUGCCUGGACUGUUGCUACCGAGACGUUACACAAGGGGGUGUUAAAAAAUAUGCUGGUGAGCUUACACCACUUGCUAUACAUGGACACUUCUGAUGCAG